UAUAUAUUUCAACCUGCUAUCUACUAACGGCACACACAUUGCAACCAAAGUUCUCUCUGUUCCACUGACUUGCUCCUUCUUCAAACGAUGAAACUUCUUGUGCUUCUGCUGGUGAUGGCUGUAGCCACAGAGUGGCAGAUGUCUGAAGCACAAACCACUAGCUGUCGAACAGCUGGGCAAGGUUGUGGUGUUGGCACAUCAACUAUUACCCCUUGCUGUACAGGUCUGACCUGCGAAAAACGCUCAAGUUCAAGCAGUGUCAGAAUAUGUAAGUGAGCUGCUGGGACAAGCUGUUGUGUACGCUGACAUGUUGCAUAAUGUGCAGUUCACACGAGCUAACAUCUUAUCGUGUACUCAAGCAGUUUUGUGUCAGCCUGCCUCACGCUCUCGUCCUCAUAACUGACUGACAGUCAAUAAAGAAAAUGAUGCAGUU